rnacentral:pre_miRNA from 17 species
AUCUAACUGGUAACCAGGAGGAUGACCUAUGAAAUGACAGCCACUUCCAUACCAAACAUGUCUGUCAUUUCUGUAGGCCAAUAUUCUGAUUGCUUUGUUGACGGC